rnacentral:rRNA from 1 species
ACGGAAGGCAGCAGUGGGGAAUAUUGCACAAUGGGGGAAACCCUGAUGCAGCGACGCCGCGUGAGUGAAGAAGUUAUUCGUAAUGUAAAGCUCUAUCAGCAGGGAAGAAAAUGACGGUACCUGACUAAAAAGCCCCGGCUAACUACGUGCCAGCAGCCGCGGUAAUACGUAGGGGGCAAGCGUUAUCCGGAUUUACUGGGUGUAAAGGGAGCGUAGACGGUCUGGCAAGUCUGAUGUGAAAGGCAGGGGCUCAACUCCUGGACUGCAUUGGAAACUGUCAGUCUUGAGUGUCGGAGAGGUAAGCGGAAUUCCUAGUGUAGCGGUGAAAUGCGUAGAUAUUAGGAGGAACACCAGUGGCGAAGGCGGCUUACUGGACGAUAACUGACGUUGAGGCUCGAAAGCGUGGGGAGCAAACAGGAUUAGAUACCCUGGUA